UCUUUGGGAGAACUUCCCCUCCCACAAUGCACAGCGGCAUAGUGCCCUCUAUAAAUGAAUGCGUGACUUCCGCUCACUCUCUCAGUCUGCUGGAACUAUGUUGGACAGAGACGUCAGCUGAGGGAUUCGGGCUCUCCUGUUGAACAGGUGGUGUGUCAGAGUUGCAGCAAUGGGAUAGAGCUUCCAACAGCCCUGAUUUUCCUUUUGGUCUAAAGGCUGAGCCCCUAAAGGCUGCUCCGUGUGGGACGGACAGUCACGUUGCCAGCUGCCUGAGGCAGCGUGUGAGCAGCUGGCCUGCAGGGGGCAGCAACACUGCUGGACCGGAGCCCGACCCAGGUUUGUUUGGUGAAAUGCUGCCAGGCUGGUCUGUGGAUCCUGUCAGUGGAUCCUGUCAGCUGCUGAUGGUCACCAGUAACACCAUGCUUCAGCACGUCGGUCUACCUGGUUGGAGUGGCAAACAGGACUUGUACAUGUAAUAUCCUGAAGGCAUUGACAUCUACAGGAAAUUAUUGUAUUCAGAAUAUAAAAUUUGAAAUAAAUUUAAUUAUGUACAAAUGUUUGAA